rnacentral:rRNA from 1 species
AUUGAACGCUGGCGGCAGGCCUAACACAUGCAAGUCGAGCGGAUGAAGGGAGCUUGCUCCUGGAUUCAGCGGCGGACGGGUGAGUAAUGCCUAGGAAUCUGCCUGGUAGUGGGUGAUAACGUCCGGAAACGGGCGCUAAUACCGCAUAAGUCCUGAGGCAGAAGGUGGGGGAGCUUCGGACCUCACGCUAUCAGAUGAGCCUAGGUCGGAUUAGCUAGUUGGUGGGGUAAAGGCCUACCAAGGCGACGAUCCGUAACUGGUCUGAGAGGAUGGUAAGUCCAACUGGAACGGAGACACGGUCCAGACUCCUACGGGAGGCAGCAGUGGGGAAUGUCGGACAAUGGGCGAAAGCCUGGUUCAGCCAUGCCGCGUGUGUGAAGAAGGUCUUCGGAUUGGAAAGCACUUUAAGUUGGGAGGAAGGGCAGUAAGUUAAUACCUUGCUGUUUUGACGUUACCAACAGAAUAAGCACCGGCUAACUUCGUG